AUGACCUUCAGUGGUUUGAAAGCCUGUAAGGGAAGAGUGCAAAUGUUAAAUGAGUUUGGUCCUGCCUAUCUCCUGCUGGGAUGCAGUUUCUCUAGGUGAUGUUUGCUGGCUGAGCUGCAGAAAAACCUGAUGACUGUUGGUAAGAGGCAGUCCUGGCUCCCAGUGAUUUCCCAUACAGGUGAAAAAAGGAAGAGCUGCAAAGAACACGAAUGCAGCUGAGCAUUUUUGCUGUGACAUUCAAACAGUUCUCAUGACUUCAGUGGAAUAAUUCCAAAUCUACGCCAAUACUCCCAAGAAAAACAGCUUUACUUUAAUAGCAACUCUGGUAACCUGUAACAUUCCUUUUCCCAGGAUGAGAGAGUCACCACAAAGAUGUGCAGCACAGAGGGCUCUGGAUGCUCCUCUGGGUAGAGAUGUGAUGAAGAGGCUUUAUGUUUUCUUUAAUGGCAAGAGGAAGCUAUUCAACCUUUAUUAUCACCAGGGAAGGAAAUUAUCACUGUCUUUAUUUCUCUUUGCUCCAUUAAAAUGAGGUGAAAUUUUUGUUUCUGUCAAGGACUGAGAUGACCACAUUCAUCCUGAGGAUGAGAACCCUUCUGCUCUGCAAGUAGCAGCAUAUUGGCAAAAAGAGUGCAAGGCUGAAAGGUUCUGGACCACAAAUAUUCGCAGGUUUUCUUUUUCAAAUCAAUUUAUAAUAAAGACCCUGAAGAAAAGAAGUCUGCUCUGCAGUGCUUGCUUCUCGUGGAGGAGAGUUAAAACGGCGAGUUGCACUCGCAGCAGUCCUUGCUUUACCUUUCAGCAUGGAGCCAACGCUUGCUGAGCCCUGGGGCAGUGCAGGUGGUUUUGUAUUUGUAAAACACUCUUUGUGAUCAGUUUUCUUUAAAAGAAGGAACCACUGCACAGCAAUACUUGUCCAGGAAUACAGGGACACGGGAAUGCCAGAAACAGUAAAUUAGGGCCCAUGAAAAGAAGCCUCAGCACACAAUGAAAUGCCAAAAAUUGAGCUUUAAGGUGACAAUAUUCAAUCAAGUUUUAGGAAUAACUGCUUGACCUAAGCUUUUCUGAGUUAAAAGAAAAAUAGUUAGCUUUACUGGACAAAGAGCAGAUAUAGAUCACUAGGAAAAUGAGUCUGCACCAUUCUACCCUUUUGUCUUUGAACUGCUCAAAUGAAAUGGACGCAGAAAUGAGGAAAAAAAACCCAACCAUCCAUAACACUGCAGCAAUAGAUCUGUGCUCAGAGAACUCCUGGAAGGGCUUAGAAAGGCCACCACGAUUUUUAGAAGCCCUUCCUGGCAGUGUGAGAUCCCAGCCAAAACCCUGCCUCUGAUCUAUGCCAUAAUGUUCCAGGAGGUCACUGCUGUUGGCACACGUAUAGCUGCACGUUCCAGCAGACACUGCAGCUGGAUUCUCUCCUAACCCCAGAGCUUGUCUUGAAACUUGGAUGGUCUCCACGAUGUCCUCAAACUGCAUUAAGUAUUCCUUGGGACAUCUGCAGUGACAGGCAUCACCAUCUGUGAUGUUCGCGCUGUACUGUUAAUGGCAGAAUGCAUAGCUCUCUGGAUAAAGUUUUGGAGCUCUUGGCCUCUCAAUCUGACCCCACAUUUGUGCUUUACAUCAGAUUUGAGGAUGAAAAUAUAUGAUUUUGGCCACUCAGACCCUACUGAGGCUCUGUUCUGU
rnacentral:lncRNA from 7 species